rnacentral:rRNA from 1 species
UACGUAGGGGGCUAGCGUUGUCCGGAAUCAUUGGGCGUAAAGCGCGCGUAGGCGGCCCAGUAAGUCCGUUGUAAAAGUCCAAGGCUCAACCUUUGAAAGCCGAUGGAUACUGCUGGGCUAGAGUCCGGAAGAGGCGAGUGGAAUUCCUGGUGUAGCGGUGGAAUGCGCAGAUAUCAGGAAGAACACCUAUGGCGAAAGCAGCUCUCUGGGACGGUACUGACGCUGAGACGCGAAAGCGUGGGGAGCAAACAGG